AGCUUUCGAAUGCAUUGAAUUUCAAUUGUUUAUGAAUAAAAUGUACAAAUAACACAAGCAGCAGGUUGACGAAGACUGACUCAAGUGUUGCAGCAUGCGUACAAGCUGGUACAGAAUCGUGCGUUACCCAACACUGGUGGCGGAUGGCUCUGGAACUUUCUGGAAGAUAUUGGUAAAAGAAGAAAUCGAUUGAGUGUCCACAUUUGACGACCCAUUGGCCAACCGUUUGUGUGUUCCUCACCGGCGUUUUUGUGCCGGGCUCAAUAAAAGCGCCCAUUGCCCACCAUCACGUCAACUGGAACCCACGAGAUGUCUUCAAUGAAACAGCUAAGCAGCUAUUUUGCCAUUUUGCGAAGCUGCUGAAUGUUAAAGAUUUAGUUGCCAGAGGUCCAGACGGAUGAAGUGCGCCUGUCACGCGCAGCCGUUGCUCAGCUCAUGGCGCGGAGCCACCGCUUUUCUACAGAUUGCUGAAGACGCUAUGGAGAAAAGCAUUGCAAUCUCGCAGCUCAUGGCUUAUAAUAUAAAGCUCUUCAUGUAUGAUACCCAGAAGAACAACUUUAUCCAUUGGCACACAUUUGAUCGAUACAUAAAGGACUAAAGGAACAUUGAUCUAUCGGUACAGCGUCCAUCAAUGAUAUACGGGAAUGGCAGCUCCCAGGAGAAACUCAACAAGAUAUUUCCCACUCUAAAAAGGAUCCGAGUCAGUCGCAUAAUGAUAGACUUGUGCGGGGAAAUCCAAAGGAAUGGUAAUCAAAGAUUUUUGCCAGUCUUAUGGCAGCUGGGAAAUGAUUACAUGGACUGUUGCAAGCGUGGAGCUGCUUUGGUAUACCCUUGCCAGACAGAGAGGCCUGACUGAUUAAAAGCCAGAAAGCAGGAGACGCUCUUAGGAUGCUGUGUUGGUCACAGGAAUACCUGAAAGUAUGCCGAAGGUGGCCAUAGGCCAAACCUCUUUCGGCCAUCGAAAUCGAUGUUGUGUAGAAGCAAAGGCUAUAGACUAUAGGUCAAACGCAUAAAACCCAAAUUUAAUAAAAAAGGCACCGUCAAUGUCUUAAAACAGUC